rnacentral:sRNA from 1 species
UACUCUUAUUUUUUUGUUUCAUUUGACAUGGCAUUUUGUAUCCAUUGUAAAAAAAUGUUUUACUAGGAUAUAGUAAUUAGAACCCAAUAACUGUUGUCAAUAAUAAUACACAGUUCAUAAUUUUGACGAUUACAAUUUAGUUAUUUGAAUAAAGUUAACAAGUUAUUUUCUGGAAAGUAGAUUGGUUGUAGCAUGAUUUGUCAAACACUGUAAGUACCUUUGCAUAUAAAAAGAUUAUUUGAUAAUCCUUAAUUUUUAUCAUUUAAAGCGUAGAUGAUGAUGAUGAUACUGUAUGCAUAAGCGAAUUUCUUCCCAUUGGGUAGCAUUUAGGAACAUCUCGAGUGUAUAUUGCAGGGGGAAUUGAUGACAUAAUUUGCGGAAUAUAUCAUUAAUAUACAAAAAAUCCAAUAUCAGCGAUAUCGGAAAAAAACAUCAGAAAAAAUUUGAGAUCACAGUAUUGUGUAAUAUACGUCGAACACCGAACAUUUAAAGGGGCAUGGUCACGAUUAUGGUCAAAAAUCAUUCUUCCGAAUUCAAUGUUAACAAUGCUUCAGUAAGGCAUUCUUUAUAGGCAACCAAAAAUUGAGUGUCAUUCAUUGAGUUAAAAGCGAGUUACAGAGCUUAAAUUUUUUUCUAUGUAAAGAAAGCUUUUGUUUACUUUUUGAAUGUAGAAGGGAAAAUUCCAGUUUUAGACCUAAAAUGAAUGUGUUGAAUGUUUAAAAAUACUGUUAAUUUUAUGCUUUAAAUGAAUAAGAAGAUAAACAAAUCAGCUUUAUAUAGUAUAUUUCAUCUUUGUAAACAAAAACAGGGCACGAGUCUUGUUUACAUUACAAAGAGUUGUGACCCAUGUAUCUUGCUCAUAACUCUACGACUGACUCUCAAAUUUAUUUGAAUAUAGAAAUGCAUUUCUAAAGCAUUGUAAAUAAUAAAAACUGAAGAACUAAAUUUGACCAAAAUCGUAACCAUGCCCUUUAUCGCAAACGAUAUAGGAAAGUGUUUUGAGAAAAGAAACCAAUGAAACACGAUACAAAACAGAUAUAUUUAAAAGUUUCACAUUUACAGACGUUACUCUGUGUUAGUUUGUCAAAACAUGUACUGCAAUAGAUCAAGCAGAGACAUCGUGGACUUAAAAACGUGUUGUUAAUUUGAAAUAAAUUUUACCUACUACG